UACGUAGGGUGCGAGCGUUAAUCGGAAUUACUGGGCGUAAAGUGUGCGCAGGCGGCAGAGCAAGUCGAGUGUGAAAGCCCCGGGCUUAACUUGGGAAUUGCGCUCGAAACUACUUUGUCGGAGUGUGGCAGAGGAAGGUGGAAUUCCACGUGUAGCGGUGAAAUGCGUAGAGAUGUGGAGGAACACCAAUGGCGAAGGCAGCCUUCUGGGCCAACACUGACGCUCAUGCACGAAAGCGUGGGGAGCAAACAGG
rnacentral:rRNA from 1 species